UACGGAGGGUGCAAGCGUUAUCCGGAUUCACUGGGUUUAAAGGGUGCGUAGGAGGGCAGGUAAGUCAGUGGUGAAAUCCUGGGGCUUAACCCCAGAACUGCCGUUGAUACUAUCGGUCUUGAAUAUCGUGGAGGUAAGCGGAAUAUGUCAUGUAGCGGUGAAAUGCUUAGAGAUGACAUAGAACACCAAUUGCGAAGGCAGCUUACUACCCGUCUUAUUGACUCUGAGGCACGAAAGCGUGGGGAUCAAACAGG
rnacentral:rRNA from 1 species